CUACGGGAGCCGGACUUCACUUUCAACUCCAAUUGCAGGUAGACUUCGUCCGAACUCCUACGGGAGCCAGACUUCGUCUCCAGCCCCAGCUGUGGGAAGACUCCGUCCGGACUCCUGUGGGAGCCAGACUUCAUCUCCGACUUCAACUGAAAGAAGACUCCAUCCGGGCUCCUGCGAGAGCCGGACUCCAAGCUCCUCUU
rnacentral:lncRNA from 1 species